GUCCACGCCGUAAACGAUGGGUGCUAGGUGUCGCGGGCUUUGACCCCUGCGGUGCCGUAGCUAACGCAUUAAGCACCCCGCCUGGGGAGUACGGCCGCAAGGCUAAAACUCAAAGGAAUUGAACGGGGGCCCGCACAAGCGGUGGAGCAUGUGGUUCAAUUCGACGCAACGCGCAGAACCUUACCUGGGCUAGAAAAUGUAGGAACCUGGUCGAAAGAUCGGGGUGCUCUUCGGAGAACCUGCAGUUAGGUGCUGCAUGGCUGUCGU
rnacentral:rRNA from 1 species